rnacentral:rRNA from 1 species
GACGAACGCUGGCGGCGUGCCUAAUACAUGCAAGUAGAACGCUGAAGGAGGAGCUUGCUUCUCUGGAUGAGUUGCGAACGGGUGAGUAACGCGUAGGUAACCUGCCUGGUAGCGGGGGAUAACUAUUGGAAACGAUAGCUACUACGGCAUAAUAGUAGAUGUUGCAUAACAUUUGCCUAAAAGGUGCAAUUGAUUCACUACCAGAUGGCCCUGCGUUGUAUUAGCUAGUUGGUGGGGUAACGGCUCACCAAGGCGACGAUACAUAGCCGACCUGAGAGGGUGAUCGGCCACACUGGGACUGAGACACGGCCCAGACUCCUACGGGAGGCAGCAGUAGGGAAUCUUCGGCAAUGGACGGAAGUCUGACCGAGCAACGCCGCGUGAGUGAAGAAGGUUUUCGGAUCGUAAAGCUCUGUUGUAAGAGAAGAACGAGUGUGAGAGUGGAAAGUUCACACUGUGACGGUAUCUUACCAGAAAGGGACGGCUAACUACGUG